AGGGGCGUAGCUCAACUGGUAGAGUGACGGUCUCCAAAACCGUAGGUUGGGGGUUCGAAACCCUCCGCCCCUGCCA
rnacentral:tRNA from 1 species